CCUACGAGGGGCAGCAGUGGGGAAUAUUGGGCAAUGGGCGCAAGCCUGACCCAGCAACGCCGCGUGAAGGAAGAAGGCUUUCGGGUUGUAAACUUCUUUUCAGAGGGGAGAGCAGAAGACGGUAACACUUGAAUAAGCCACGGCUAACUACGUGCCAGCAGCCGCGGUAAUACGUAGGUGGCAAGCGUUGUACGGAUUUAGUGGGUGUAAAGGGCGUGCAGCCGGGAAGACAAGUCAGGUGUGAACUCCCACGGCUUAACCGCGGAACUGCAUUUGAAACUGUUUUUCUUGAGUACCGGAGAGGUAAUCGGAAUUCCUUGUGUAGCGGUGAAAUGCGUAGAUAUAAGGAAGAACACCAGUGGCGAAGGCGGAUGACUGGACGGCAACUGACGGUGAGGCGCGAAAGCGUGGGGAGCAAACAGGAUUAGAUACCCUUGUAGUC
rnacentral:rRNA from 1 species